GACGAACGCUGGCGGCGUGCUUAACACAUGCAAGUCGAACGCUGAAGCUUGGUGCUUGCACUUGGUGGAUGAGUGGCGAACGGGUGAGUAAUACGUGAGUAACCUGCCCUUGACUCUGGGAUAAGCCUGGGAAACUGGGUCUAAUACUGGAUACGACAUGUCACCGCAUGGUGGUGUGUGGAAAGGGUUUUAGUGGUUUUGGAUGGGCUCACGGCCUAUCAGCUUGUUGGUGGGGUAAUGGCUCACCAAGGCGACGACGGGUAGCCGGCCUGAGAGGGUGACCGGGCACAAUGGGACUGAGACACGGCCCAGAAUCCUACGGGAGGCAGCAGUGGAGAAUAUUGCACAAUGGGCGGAAGCCUGAUGCAGCGACGCCGCGUGAGGGAUGACGGCCUUCGGGUUGUAAACCUCUGUCAGAACGGAAGAAGAGAAAGUGACGGUACGUGAAGAAGAAGCGCCGGCUAACUACGUG
rnacentral:rRNA from 1 species